ACGAAACCUAAUACAUAAUCACACGCCUUGAGAUGCUCCAAGGAGUCGGAUUUGAGCCACCGCCACUAUUGCGCUGUGGAGACAUGGCCUUGUUCAGCAGAUUAAAAGUAAAAGACCGGAAUAUCAGGCCAAAUCAGAUAGCAGCCAUUAAAUUAAUCGGUCCAGGAACGUACGGGCAAGAGUCGCUAGACUGGCCGGGCUGAGGAUAUCCACCCCAACGUUUUGAUCGCCACUACAAUAAAUAGCGGAAAGAUCAAAUUUUCCCGGCUAUUCUGAAAUUUAUGGCUUCCCGCUCUGAAGUGCCAUCUUCCCCUCCUCUUCCUCCUGCUGAUCCAUUGAACAAGGAUUGGGGAGAGAGGGUAUCGGAGGUGGUUUUAUCGGUUUAUAAUUCUCUCCCGAAGAAAGGAAAACCUCAAGGCCGAGAAACUACCAUUUUGGCGGCAUUUCUCGUUUCUUCUCCUGCUCAAGAUUUACAAGUUGUUGCAUUGGGAACCGGAACUAAAUGUCUCGGACGAUCGCGACUGAGUGCGCAUGGCGAUGUGGUAAACGAUUCUCAUGCAGAAAUUAUUGCACGAAGAGCUCUCCUAAGGUACUUUUAUACAGAGAUUGGAUAUCUAAAUUCCAUUUGUACUAGGGAUGGAUUUAAUAAUGGUACAGAACAGUUGCAGAGUGAUAUUUUCAUGAACUUCCUUUUCCAUUUGGAAACAGAUGGUCCUGGUCAAGGAAAAUACUCGAUACGACCAGGUUGGCAGUUACAUUUAUAUAUAUCACAGUUGCCCUGCGGGGAUGCGUCUUUGCCGUUGCUUUUGAUUAGAGAUUCACCCCUAGCAGAACAAAGUUCAUCACCAUCUAUGAAUGGUCUCAUGACCACUGGCGAAGGUGUCUGUAUACAAGCUGUUGGCAUGGUUCAGAGGAAACCUGGUCGUGGUGAUACAACAUUGUCAGUGAGCUGCUCUGAUAAAAUUGCCCGAUGGAAUGUUGUUGGCAUCCAAGGAUCUUUGCUUUCCUGCUUUCUUCAACCGGUCUACCUAUCUUCCAUUACUGUGGGGCGCUCUCCUAGCAAUCGUUCUGAAGAACUUCCCCUAGAGUAUCAUUUGAAGAGAGCAGUUUUUGAUCGCAUAUUUCCAUUAUCUAACAGGCUUACCGCACCAUUUCGAGUGAACAAGCCACUAUUUUGGGAGGCCCCAAUACCACCUAAGGAGUUUCAGCAAUCAGACUUUGCUGCAGAAACUUUAACUUGCGGUUAUUCUGUCUGCUGGAACAAGUAUGGCCUGCAUGAAGUUGUUCUUGGGACCACUGGCAGAAAGCAAGGCACAUCGUCAAAAGGGGCACUUUCCCCCGCUACUCAAUCAGUUCUGUGCAAAAAGCACCUGUUGGAUCUAUUCAUAUCACUGAGACGUGGAUGCUCUGAUGAAGUCCUGGCUGAUACUGUAUCUUAUCGAGGAUUGAAGGAAAGAGCUGAUGAAUACUGUUCCACUUUGAAGAUUUUCAAAGAUAAUCCGCCUUUCAGCAAUUGGUUUCUGAAACCUAUGGAUCUUGAGGCAUUCCCUAUUUUAAGAUAGCAAGAGUUUGUCCUCAAAAUCAAGGCGACAAAAAGCUCUGCAAUCUCAUAAUUCGGCUCUUAUAUACCUUGUUUCAAGCAUCUACAUAAACAAGAGGGAAACUGAAAUGCUGGAGAACCUUGAUGUGUAAAAGGCCAAGAGUUUCACAGACUAAUGGGCAUAGCCUCUGGCUGGUCAGUCUUACAGGCUGCCUACAGUACAGUGGAAAUGGAGAAACAGGUAAUUCACUUUCAAGUGCGUGGCAUCCUGAAUUGUUUGGUCAAUGCUGACAUGAUAAUUUGGUUGGUGAGAUGUUGGUAAUACCUUUACUGCUGCUUCUGCUCCUUCCAAUUGUUGAUGUUUUUUGCUCAACAGACAAUGGUGAAAGAGACUGCAGAGAGUGAAGCAGCAAUGGCACCCUCAAGUUUUGUCCCAGAUUUUUUAAUGCUUUGUGGUUUUUCUUUGACUGAUGCAAGCAAAUCCUAUUUGAACUAGUUUGUUGGUUCCUUAGUUUCUCUUGGUUCCGGGGAAGUGAUCUCAAA